GCUUCCGUGGCUCAGUUGGUAGAGCAACGCAUUCGUAAUGCGUGGGUCAGGGGUUCGAGUCCCCUCGGGAGCU
rnacentral:tRNA from 1 species